UGAAGAUGAGGAUGACAGCCAUGAUAUGGUUUUAAUUAAAGAGUUGGGUGAAAGUUUCUUGAAGAACUUCUGUAAAAAGGCAUCAACUGGUUUUUUUGAGAAGUAUGGUUUAAUCAGUCACCAGAUUAAUUCAUAUAAUGACUUCAUCAACUAUGGAAUCCAAAGGGUGUUUGACUCGGUUGGGGAGAUCCAUGUUGAGCCAGGUUAUGAUCCAUCAAAGAGAGGUGAUGGUGAUUGGAAACAUGCUUCUGUGAAAUUCGGGAAAGUAACCCUUGAGAGGCCGAAGUUUUGGGCUGGGGAAAAGUUUUCUGUGGAUGGUGGGAAAGAGUACCUGGACUUGUUGCCACGACAUGCUCGCCUCCAGAACAUGACGUAUUCUGCCAGGAUUAUGGUUGAGACUCAUGUUCAGGUGUAUACCAAAAAGCUAGUUAGAAGUGACAAGUUCAAAACUGGCGUAGACCGGUUUGUCGACAAGGAGUGGGAAGUGGAAGACAAAAGGGAUGUCUUGAUUGGGAGAAUCCCUGUGAUGGUUAACUCAGAAUUGUGCUGGAUGAAUGGCGUUGACAAGCUUGACUGUGAAUUUGAUCAUGGGGGAUACUUCAUUGUCAAAGGGGCUGAAAAGACCUUCAUUGCACAAGAGCAGCUUUGUUUAAAAAGGCUCUGGGUGUCAAACAAUCCUACUUGGAUGGUUGGAUAUCGCCCAGGUGAAAAAAGGAAGAGAGUCUACAUUAAACUGACUGAGACCUUGAAGCUUGAGCACAUUAAGGGAGGAGAAAAAGCCCUCAGUGUAUACAUCCUUGCAGAAAUGCCAAUUUGGGUCUUGUUUUUUGCUCUAGGUGUUUCCUCCGACAGGGAGGUGGUAAAUUUAAUUGAUGUGGAUAUUGAAGAUACUACUAUUGUCAAUAUACUAGUAGCUUCCAUCCAUGAGGCUGAUAAGAAUUGUGAGGAUUUCAGGAAGGGGAAAAAGGCUCUUGCUUAUGUUGAUAGACUUAUAAAGAAUUGUAAAUUUCCACCUCAAGAAUCUGUUGAGGAGUGCAUAAAUGCAUACCUGUUCCCUAAUCUUAGUGGUUUCAAGCAGAAGGCUCGCUUCCUUGGCUAUAUGGUAAAAUGCCUCUUGCACUCUUUCAUUGGUCGCAGAAAGGUUGACAACAGAGAUGAUUUUCGAAACAAGAGAUUGGAGCUGGCUGGUGAGCUCCUAGAACGAGAGCUCAGGGCACAUAUUAAACAUGCUGAGAGGCGUAUGGUGAAGGCAAUGCAAAGAGAUCUUUAUGGAGAUCGACAAGUGCAGCCAAUUGAGCAUUACUUGGAUGCAUCAAUAAUUACCAAUGGUCUCUCUAGGGCUUUUUCCACUGGGCAUUGGUGUCACCCUUACAAGAGAAUGGAGAGGGUUUCCGGUGUAGUUGCAACUCUUAGACGAACAAAUCCAUUGCAAAUGACUGCUGAUAUGAGGAAAUCGCGUCAGCAGGUUACAUACACCGGGAAGGUUGGCGAUGCUAGAUACCCACAUCCUUCACACUGGGGAAAGCUAUGUUUUCUAUCUACCCCAGAUGGAGAAAAUUGUGGCCUGGUGAAAAAUUUGGCUAGUAUGGGUCUUGUCAGCACAAUUAUUUUGAAACCAUUUCUUGAGACAUUGUUCCGGUGUGGGAUGCAAAAGUUAGUAGACGAUUGUUCCACCUCACUCCAUGGAAAGCAAAAGGUACUACUUGAUGGGGAGUGGGUUGGAGUAUGUGAAGAUUCUGCACUCUUCGUUUCAAAGCUAAGACGUAAGCGCCGCAGGAAUGAAGUGCCACACCAGGUUGAAGUUAAGAGAGAUGAGCUGCAGGGUGAAGUUCGCAUAUUUUCUGAUCCUGGAAGAAUUCUGCGUCCUCUUCUUGUUGUUUCAAAUCUAAAGAAAAUCAAAGCUUUGAAAGGGGGAGAUUAUGGCUUUCAAUCUCUUCUGGACAAUGGGAUUAUUGAGCUUAUAGGACCUGAAGAAGAAGAAGACUGUCGAACUGCAUGGGGAGUUGAGUACAUCUUAAAAGCAGAUAAAGAGAACCCCCCUGCUAAGUAUACUCAUUGUGAGUUGGACAUGUCAUUCCUAUUAGGCUUGAGCUGUGGUAUUAUCCCAUUUGCAAACCAUGAUCAUGCUAGGAGGGUCCUCUAUCAAUCUGAGAAGCACUCUCAGCAAGCAAUUGGGUUUUCAACAGUGAAUCCAAACAUUAGAGUUGAUACAAAUACCCAUCAAUUGUAUUACCCUCAGAGGCCACUUUUCGGGACAAUGUUGUCAGAUUCCCUUGGGAAACCAAAAUGUGCUCAGUACCAG
rnacentral:misc_RNA from 1 species